CCUACGGGUGGCAGCAGUGGGGAAUAUUGCACAAUGGGGGAAACCCUGAUGCAGCAACGCCGCGUGGGUGAAGGAGCGUUUCGGCGCGUAAAGCCCUGUCAGCGGGGAAGAAGAAAGACGGUACCCGACCAAGAAGCCCCGGCUAACUACGUGCCAGCAGCCGCGGUAAUACGUAGGGGGCGAGCGUUAUCCGGAAUUACUGGGUGUAAAGGGAGCGUAGACGGCGAGGUAAGCCUGAAGUGGAAGCCCGCGGCCCAACCGCGGAACUGCAGUUGAAACUGGCGUUCUUGAGUGGGCGAGAAGGAUGGGGAAUGCGAGGUGUAGGGGUGAAAUGCAGAGAGAGCACGCAGAACUCCGAUUGCGAAGGCAGCAUACCGG
rnacentral:rRNA from 1 species